rnacentral:rRNA from 1 species
CUGCCAGUAGUCAUAUGCUUGUCUCAAAGAUUAAGCCAUGCAUGUCUAAGUCCAAGCUGUGUUCACACGGCGAGACCGCGGACGGCUCAUUAAAUCAGUCGUGGUCCAAAUGGGCCAGUGCAAAUCCUACUUGGAUAACUGUGGUAAUUCCAGAGCUAAUACAUGCAACUGAUAUCCCGAAGGCGGUGUUGGGGCUUGCUUGCCUUGCGCUGCGCUGCUCUGACGGAUGCUUUUAUUAGACCAAGCCGCUGAGGACUUGAGGGUUCGCGCUCUCUUGUUUGACUCGUGUGAUGGUGACUCUGGAUAACCAAAUUCUGACAAGCGCACGUACUUCUCUUCUGAGCGAGACGGCGCUGCCACUUUCGAGUGUCUGCCUUAUCAGCUAUCAACCGUUCGUUAUGCGCGACCGAUGGCUUUGACGGGUAACGGGGAAUCAGGGUUCGAUUCCGGAGAGGCAGCCUGAGAGACGGCUACCACGUCCAAGGACGGCAGCAGGCACGCAAAUUACCCAAUCCCAGCAAAUGGGGGAGGUAGUGACGAAAUCUAACGAUGCGGGCGCCCUUUCUGGGGCCCCGCAAUCGGAAUGGGCACUUUCUAAACAACCUGUUGAGAACCUACUGAAGG